rnacentral:misc_RNA from 1 species
AGCGUCCAAGAUUUUAUCCUCAGAGGUAAAUAGAAAAUCCUCGGCCAUUUUGUAUAGCAAAUACUCGUACCCUCUUUCAUCUGCUACUAGAAAUUCUCUUUCUCCAAAAUCAACAUAUGUUGAUAUUGGCUCUACCUCUGCCAUCUCAAAGUCAUGGAGAAUGAAGUCAAUGGCGAGCUCUAUUGGUGUCUUGGGUGAGCCAGGUGGUUCAAUAACUUCACCAACAUCAACAUGGUUUGCCUCCAGGCUCCUCAGCUUCAUAAUAGCUGAA